rnacentral:rRNA from 1 species
GGCCUAACACAUGCAAGUCGAGCGGUAGAGAGAAGCUUGCUUCUCUUGAGAGCGGCGGACGGGUGAGUAAUGCCUAGGAAUCUGCCUGGUAGUGGGGGAUAACGUUCGGAAACGGACGCUAAUACCGCAUACGUCCUACGGGAGAAAGCAGGGGACCUUCGGGCCUUGCGCUAUCAGAUGAGCCUAGGUCGGAUUAGCUAGUUGGUGAGGUAAUGGCUCACCAAGGCGACGAUCCGUAACUGGUCUGAGAGGAUGAUCAGUCACACUGGAACUGAGACACGGUCCAGACUCCUACGGGAGGCAGCAGUGGGGAAUAUUGGACAAUGGGCGAAAGCCUGAUCCAGCCAUGCCGCGUGUGUGAAGAAGGUCUUCGGAUUGUAAAGCACUUUAAGUUGGGAGGAAGGGCAGUUACCUAAUACG